GGAGACGUGGUUGUGCACCCAUGAAACUGACCUUGUUUGGGAGUCAUGGACAUAUGCAUGAUAUUUAAAGCCAUGAGAUUGAAUGAGAUCAUCAAAGGAAUGAGAUCAUCAAAGGAUGGAGAAGAGGACCAGCUACUUCUGCACGGUUGCCAAUGGAAACCAGAUAACUGGACUCUGACUGAGGCAGACAUGCCACCUUACGUCUUCCAUGAGAAGGACCAUAGGUUUCUGGCACAGUCCAAGUGUCCAGAGGAUUGUCAACACUCGUAUCAAUGGGCCCGUAGCUCCUGGAUUCCAGGGAGCUUUUCAAAUUGUGUAGAUUUCAAAGCAAUAAGUGGAGGUAAACCAAAGCAGACACAGGCCCUCCAACAAGCUUGUCAAGUUUGUCUCAAUGUGGAGAAGCAAAACCAAACUGACAGAUUCUUAACAAUCUGGACCAGUUUUCAAGAUCUCUCUUACAGCCAAAGGAAUUUGAAAUUUACACCAAUCCAAGGUAAAGUAAUUUCCUCCUCGUGUUUCACAUGGGUAAAAUGGGCUGAGAAAAGUAAACCUAAAGUAAACCUAAAUCGAAAGUACAAGAGUACAUAUUUCUUAUCCUCUUGCCCUUGUCAUGGGCUGGAAAAUUCCAUCUCCAUCCAUUGCCUCUUAAAGAUCUCACUUGCUCAAUUUUGGAUGGAGUCUUACACUCCAAGCUAUAAAAGAUAA
ensembl:lncRNA